CCCAUAGGGAGCCAGAUCCAUCCUGGUACUGCCACAAAGGGAGCCAUUGGGGGGCCCAUAGGGACCCAGAGAGAUUCAGGUACUGCCACAAAGGGAGCCAAUGUGGGGCCCAUAGGGAGCCAGAGCCAUCCUGGUACUGCCACAAAGAGAGCCAUUGGGAGUCUCAAAGGGAGCCCCAUUGGGAGCCAGACAGGACCCCAGGUACUGCCACAAAGGGAGCCAUUGGGAGUCCCAUAGGGAGCCAGAGCCAUCCUGGUACUGCCACAAAGGGAGCUGUGGGGAGCCCCAGAGGGAGCCAGAGCCGUCAUGGUAUUGCCACAAAGAGAGCCAUUGGGAGUCUCAAAGGGAGCCCCAUUGGGAGCCAGACAGAGCCCAGGUACUGCCACAAAGGGAGCCGUGGGGAGCCCCAUAGGGAGGCAGGCAGAGCCCAGGUACUGCCACAAAGGGAGCCGUGGGGAGCCCCAUAGGGACCCAGAGAGAUUCAG
rnacentral:lncRNA from 1 species